CACUCUUAGCGGUGGAUACUCGGCUCGUGCGUCGAUGAAGAACGCAGCUAGCUGCGAGAAUUAAUGUGAAUUGCAGGACACUUGAUCAUCGACACUUCGAACGCACUUGCGGCCCCCGGUUCCCCGGCUACGCCUGCCUGAGCGUCG
rnacentral:rRNA from 1 species